AACGCGAAGAACCUUACCCGGCCUUGACAUCUAUGGAAUUCUGCAGAGAUGCAGAAGUGCCUUCGGGAACCAUAAGACAGGUGCUGCAUGGCUGUCGUCAGCUCGUGUCGUGAGAUGUUGGGUUAAGUCCCGCAACGAGCGCAACCCUUGUCCUUAGUUGCCAUCAUUAAGUUGGGAACUCUAAGGAGACCGCCGGUGACAAACCGGAGGAAGGUGGGGAUGACGUCAAGUCAUCAUGGCCUUUAUGGCCGGGGCUACACACGUGCUACAAUGGCAGGUACAGAGGGAAGCCAACUCGCGAGAGGGAGCCAAUCCCAGAAAGCCUGUCGUAGUCCGGAUCGGAGUCUGCAACUCGACUCUGUGAAGUCGGAAUCGCUAGUAAUCGCAGAUCAGCAUUGCUGCGGUGAAUACGUUCCCGGGCCUUGUACACACCGGACACGC
rnacentral:rRNA from 1 species